UACAGGGGGUGCAAACGUUGCUCGGAAUCAUUGGGCGUAAAGCGCACGUAGGCGGUCUGUUAUGUCGGAUGUGAAAGCCCUUGGCUCAACUGAGGAAGUGCAUCCGAAACUGGCAGGCUAGAGUACUAAAGAGGGUCGCGGAAUUCCCGGUGUAGAGGUGAAAUUCGUAGAUAUCGGGAGGAACACCAGUGGCGAAGGCGGCGACCUGGGCCAAUAUUGACGCUGAGGAGCGAAAGCUAGGGGAGCAAACGGG
rnacentral:rRNA from 1 species